ensembl:snoRNA
UGCCUUUGUGUUGCCCAUUCACUUUGGAAACUAGCGAAUGUGUUGCCAAGAGAGGCAUAAAGUAAGCCAGUCCAAGGCAGGGUUUUCCUGCCAGUGACCCUGCUUUCUAGGCACACGCACUCCAUAAGAAACAGAA